GUCGAGCGGACUUGAUGGAGAGCUUGCUCUCCUGAUGGUUAGCGGCGGACGGGUGAGUAACACGUAGGUAACCUGCCCAUAAGACUGGGAUAACCCACGGAAACGUGAGCUAAUACCAGAUAGGCAUUUUCCUCGCAUGAGGGAGAUGAGAAAGGCGGAGCAAUCUGCCACUUAUGGAUGGACCUGCGGCGCAUUAGCUAGUUGGUAAGGUAACGGCUUACCAAGGCGACGAUGCGUAGCCGACCUGAGAGGGUGAUCGGCCACACUGGGACUGAGACACGGCCCAGACUCCUACGGGAGGCAGCAGUAGGGAAUCUUCCGCAAUGGACGAAAGUCUGACGGAGCAACGCCGCGUGAGUGAUGAAGGUUUUCGGAUCGUAAAGCUCUGUUGCCAGGGAAGAACGCCUAGGAGAGUAACUGCUCCUAGGGUGACGGUACCUGAGAAGAAAGCCCCGGCUAACUACGUGCCAGCAGCCGCGGUAAUACGUAGGGGGCGAGCGUUGUCCGGAAUUAUUGGGCGUAAAGCGCGCGCAGGCGGCAAUGUAAGUUGGGUGUUUAAACCUAGGGCUCAACCUUGGGUCGCAUCCAAAACUGCAUAGC
rnacentral:rRNA from 1 species